CAGAGGCGAUGAAGGGCGUGCUAAUCUGCGAAAAGCGUCGGUAAGCUGAUAUGAAGCGUUAUAACCGACGAUACCCGAAUGGGGAAACCCAGUGCAAUACGUUGCACUAUCGUUAGAUGAAUACAUAGUCUAACGAGGCGAACCGGGGGAACUGAAACAUCUAAGUACCCCGAGGAAAAGAAAUCAACCGAGAUUCCCCCAGUAGCGGCGAGCGAACGGGGAGGAGCCCAGAGUCUGAAUCAGUUUGUGUGUUAGUGGAAGCGUCUGGAAAGUCGCACGGUACAGGGUGAUAGUCCCGUACACCAAAAUGCACAGGCUGUGAACUCGAUGAGUAGGGCGGGACACGUGACAUCCUGUCUGAAUAUGGGGGGACCAUCCUCCAAGGCUAAAUACUCCUGACUGACCGAUAGUGAACCAGUACCGUGAGGGAAAGGCGAAAAGAACCCCGGCGAGGGGAGUGAAAUAGAACCUGAAACCGUGUACGUACAAGCAGUGGGAGCACCUUCGUGGUGUGACUGCGUACCUUUUGUAUAAUGGGUCAGCGACUUAUAUUUUGUAGCAAGGUUAACCGAAUAGGGGAGCCGUAGGGAAACCGAGUCUUAACUGGGCGUCUAGUUGCAAGGUAUAGACCCGAAACCCGGUGAUCUAGCCAUGGGCAGGUUGAAGGUUGGGUAACACUAACUGGAGGACCGAACCGACUAAUGUUGAAAAAUUAGCGGAUGACUUGUGGCUGGGGGUGAAAGGCCAAUCAAACCGGGAGAUAGCUGGUUCUCCCCGAAAGCUAUUUAGGUAGCGCCUCGUGAACUCAUCUUCGGGGGUAGAGCACUGUUUCGGCUAGGGGGCCAUCCCGGCUUACCAAACCGAUGCAAACUCCGAAUACCGAAGAAUGUUAUCACGGGAGACACACGGCGGGUGCUAACGUCCGUCGUGAAGAGGGAAACAACCCAGACCGCCAGCUAAGGUCCCAAAGUCAUGGUUAAGUGGGAAACGAUGUGGGAAGGCACAGACAGCCAGGAUGUUGGCUUAGAAGCAGCCAUCAUUUAAAGAAAGCGUAAUAGCUCACUGGUCGAGUCGGCCUGCGCGGAAGAUGUAACGGGGCUAAACCAUGCACCGAAGCUGCGGCAGCGACACUUAGGUGUUGUUGGGUAGGGGAGCGUUCUGUAAGCCGUUGAAGGUGACCUGUGAGGGUUGCUGGAGGUAUCAGAAGUGCGAAUGCUGACAUAAGUAACGAUAAUGCGGGUGAAAAACCCGCACGCCGGAAGACCAAGGGUUCCUGUCCAACGUUAAUCGGGGCAGGGUGAGUCGACCCCUAAGGCGAGGCUGAAAAGCGUAGUCGAUGGGAAACAGGUUAAUAUUCCUGUACUUGGUGUUACUGCGAAGGGGGGACGGAGAAGGCUAGGCUGGCCGGGCGACGGUUGUCCCGGUUUAAGCGUGUAGGGGGAGUGACCAGGUAAAUCCGGUUGCUUAUCAACCCUGAGGCGUGAUGACGAUGCACCACGGUGCAGAAGCAGUUGAUGCCAUGCUUCCAGGAAAAGCCUCUAAGCAUCAGGUAACAUUAAAUCGUACCCCAAACCGACACAGGUGGUCAGGUAGAGAAUACUCAGGCGCUUGAGAGAACUCGGGUGAAGGAACUAGGCAAAAUGGUGCCGUAACUUCGGGAGAAGGCACGCUGGCGUUAGGUGAAAGGACUAGCUCCUGGAGCUGAAGCCAGUCGCAGAUACCAGCUGGCUGCAACUGUUUAAUAAAAACACAGCACUGUGCAAACACGAAAGUGGACGUAUACGGUGUGACGCCUGCCCGGUGCUGGAAGGUUAAUUGAUGGGGUCAGCCGCAAGGCGAAGCUCUUGAUCGAAGCCCCAGUAAACGGCGGCCGUAACUAUAACGGUCCUAAGGUAGCGAAAUUCCUUGUCGGGUAAGUUCCGACCUGCACGAAUGGCGUAAUGAUGGCCAGGCUGUCUCCACCCGAGACUCAGUGAAAUUGAACUCGCUGUGAAGAUGCAGUGUACCCGCGGCAAGACGGAAAGACCCCGUGAACCUUUACUAUAGCUUGACACUGAACAUUGAGCCUUGAUGUGUAGGAUAGGUGGGAGGCCUUGAAGUGUGGACGCCAGUCUGCAUGGAGCCAACCUUGAAAUACCACCCUUUAAUGUUUGAUGUUCUAACUCGGCCCCAUGAUCUGGGGUGAGGACAGUGUCUGGUGGGUAGUUUGACUGGGGCGGUCUCCUCCCAAAGAGUAACGGAGGAGCACGAAGGUUAGCUAAUCACGGUCGGACAUCGUGAGGUUAGUGCAAAGGCAUAAGCUAGCUUGACUGCGAGAGUGACGGCUCGAGCAGGUACGAAAGUAGGUCUUAGUGAUCCGGUGGUUCUGAAUGGAAGGGCCAUCGCUCAACGGAUAAAAGGUACUCCGGGGAUAACAGGCUGAUACCGCCCAAGAGUUCAUAUCGACGGCGGUGUUUGGCACCUCGAUGUCGGCUCAUCACAUCCUGGGGCUGAAGUAGGUCCCAAGGGUAUGGCUGUUCGCCAUUUAAAGUGGUACGCGAGCUGGGUUUAGAACGUCGUGAGACAGUUCGGUCCCUAUCUGCCGUGGGCGUUGGAAGAUUGAGAGGGGCUGCUCCUAGUACGAGAGGACCGGAGUGGACGAAUCACUGGUGUUCGGGUUGUCAUGCCAAUGGCAUUGCCCGGUAGCUAAAUUCGGAAGAGAUAACCGCUGAAAGCAUCUAAGCGGGAAACUUGCCUCGAGAUGAGUCUUCCCUGGGGCUUAAAGCCCCCUGAAGGAACGUUAAAGACUAUGACGUUGAUAGGCUGGGUGUGUAAGUGCAGCGAUGUAUUGAGCUAACCAGUACUAAUGAUCCGUGAGGCUUAACCUUACAACACCGAAGGUGUUU
rnacentral:rRNA from 1 species